rnacentral:rRNA from 1 species
UACGAAGGGGGCUAGCGUUGCUCGGAAUCACUGGGCGUAAAGCGCACGUAGGCGGAUUGUUAAGUCAGGGGUGAAAUCCUGGAGCUCAACUCCAGAACUGCCUUUGAUACUGGCGAUCUCGAGUCCGGGAGAGGUGAGUGGAACUGCGAGUGUAGAGGUGAAAUUCGUAGAUAUUCGCAAGAACACCAGUGGCGAAGGCGGCAUCCUGGACCAACACUGACACUGAGGAGCGAAAGCCAGGGGAGCAAACGGG